rnacentral:rRNA from 1 species
CAUUAAGUUGGGCACUCUAAGUUGACUGCCGGUGACAAACCGGAGGAAGGUGGGGAUGACGUCAAAUCAUCAUGCCCCUUAUGAUUUGGGCUACACACGUGCUACAAUGGACAAUACAAAGGGUAGCGAAACCGCGAGGUCAAGCAAAUCCCAUAAAGUUGUUCUCAGUUCGGAUUGUAGUCUGCAACUCGACUACAUGAAGCUGGAAUCGCUAGUAAUCGUAGAUCAGCAUGCUACGGUGAAUACGUUCC